CGGACGGGUGAGUAACGCGUGGAUAACCUGCCUCACACUGGGGGAUAACAGUUAGAAAUGACUGCUAAUACCGCAUGGGCGCACAGUACCGCAUGGUACGGUGUGAAAAACUCCGGUGGUGUGAGAUGGAUCCGCGUCUGAUUAGCCAGUUGGCGGGGUAACGGCCCACCAAAGCGACGAUCAGUAGCCGACCUGAGAGGGUGACCGGCCACAUUGGGACUGAGACACGGCCCAA
rnacentral:rRNA from 1 species